rnacentral:rRNA from 1 species
UACAGAGGUCUCAAGCGUUGUUCGGAUUCAUUGGGCGUAAAGGGUGCGCAGGCGGUUCUGCAAGUCAGGCGUGAAAUCCCCGGGCUUAACCUGGGAAUGGCGCUUGAAACUACGGGACUGGAGUAUGGCAGAGGGAGGUGGAAUUCCACGUGUAGCGGUGAAAUGCGUAGAGAUGUGGAGGAACACCGAUGGCGAAGGCAGCCUCCUGGGCCAAUACUGACGCUCAUGCACGAAAGCGUGGGGAGCAAACAGG